AUUGAACGCUGGCGGCAGGCCUAACACAUGCAAGUCGAGCGAGCGGCGGACGGGUGAGUAAUGUAUGGGGACUGCCCGAUAGAGGGGGAUAACUACUGGAAACGGUGGCUAAUACCGCAUACUAUCGGAUAACCCAUAGGGGAUUAGCUAGUAGGUGGGGUAAAGGCUCACCUAGGAGACGAUCGCUAGCUGGUCUGAGAGGAUGAUCAGCCACACGGGGACUGAGAACCGGCCCAGACUACUACGGAGGCAGCAGUGGGGAAUAGUGGACAAUGGGCGCAAGCCUGAUGCAGCAAUGCCGCGUGUAUGAAGAAGGCCUGCGGGUUGUAAAGUACUUUCAGCGGGGAGGCGUUACCCGCAGAAGAAGCACCGGCUAACUUCGUGCCAGCCGCCGCGGUAAUAC
rnacentral:rRNA from 1 species